AGCGACACCUUGACGUCGCUCUGAUCUCCCUAUCAGAGCGACCUUACUAGAGCGACAGGGAAGAGUCGCUCGCGUAUUGAUCACCCGGAGACAACGAAUCCGGAGCGACCUCUCGCAGCGACACAGCGAGGUCGCUCCCGAAUCCGGAGAGUGAAAGAUGAACACGGAUGAAAGCCUUAAAGAUCUUUUCUGAAGCUCAAAAUUUGUGGAGACACUGGAAAUUGAGUUAGCUUUCCAAUGGAAGUGGUUUCAAGUCAUUUGGAGCUGUAUUGGAUAAGUUAUAAUCGAUUUACUACAGGUGUAUCAACCCUUGCCGGGGACCACUGGAAAGUUGAUGGGAUUAACCAACUUCCCACUUUCUUCCACCCACCUUUCCUUUGCACGAUUUUUCCUACUUUUCUGUAUAAUAUUUGCUUUCUUAUUAUCAAAAGAGUGGGCAAGAAACAUCAUUAUCCAACUUUGUAAUAAUUUAACUUGUCAAAACUCUCUCUCUUUGAAAUAUCAUUGUUCUUAGUGUUCUUGAGCUGUUCUUCAAUUGUUCAUCAUCUGUUCUUGAGUUUUAAUUUCGUUUUGCUUGUUUAAAUCCUUAUUUAUCUUUAUUCUCUGUUGUAUCCACUUGAAUAUGCUUCAAUCUAUUAUGAGAUUAAGUGUUUUCAUGGAGAUUAGUGAGUAGUUUCCUUAAGAAUUCAUGGGUUAGGGAGAUUAGAGUAACUUAGUGAAGAUCUAUGGUGUUAUUGUAUUAGAUCCUUGUAUGAACUUGCUUGUUGAGUAUUUUUAAUGCUUGUUUAGUCUUGAUCACUCUAAACCUGAUUUCUAAACACUUCUCAUCAGACAUGAUUAGAUGAAGUGUUUGAAUCAACUCA
rnacentral:lncRNA from 1 species